CGCAGUGGCUCAUACCUGUAAUCCUAACAUUUUGGGAGUCCGAGGCAGAAGGAUCGUUUAAGGCCAGGAGUUUGAGACCAGCCUAGGCAACAAAGUGAGACUUUGUCUCUACAAAAAAAAAAAAAUUUAAAUUAUAAAAAAAAACUGAUAAGAGGGCAGGGGGAGAUGGGUUUCUAGGCAGGGAAAUAGGAUAUGACAAACUAAGAAAAACUCAGCUUGUCCUAAGCAUAAAAUUAAAGGGGGGAAGAGGUAGCUAAUCUGGGAUCAGGUUUUAAAGGCUCCCAAGUCUUGUAAGAGACACGGACAUUAUCCUCAAAGCAGUGGGGAGCUUAUUUAAGAAAGUGAAAAGAGGCUGAUCUUGAACUCCCGACCUCAGGUGAUCCACCCGCCUCGACCUCCGAAAGUGCUGGGAUUACAGGCAUGAGCCACCACGCCCAGCCCAAAUGGUGUUUUAAAGGUCAUCAUGUCUCCUGGGUUCCCUAACAAACACAGUCCAGCUUUUUCCUGGCAUUACCUGGACCACCUGAUGCCAUGCCACCU
rnacentral:lncRNA from 1 species